UGGUUUUUUGGGCAUCGAUGGCUUACACAUGCAAGUCGAGGGGCAGCAUGAUCUUAUUUUUGCUAAGGUCGAUGGCGACCGGGAAAGGUGCGUAACGCGUAUGCAACCUGCCUGUAAUUAGGGAAUAACCCGGUGAAAGUCGGACUAAUACCCUAUAUUCUUCUUUCUCCGCAUGGAGGAGGACGGAAAGAUUUAUUGAUUACAGAUGGGCAUGCGUCCCAUUAGCUAGUUGGUAAGGUAACGGCUUACCAAGGCAACGAGGGGUAGGGGGACUGAGAGGUUGACCCCCCACACUGGUACUGAGACACGGACCAGACUCCUACGGGAGGCAGCAGUGAGGAAUAUUGGUCAAUGGGCGAGAGCCUGAACCAGCCAAGUCGCGUGAAGGACGACGGUUCUAUGGAUUGUAAACUUCUUUUGUAGAGGAAUAAUGGCAGCUACGCGUAGCUGAGAUGCAUGUACUCUACGAAUAAGUAUCGGCUAACUCCGUGCCAGCAGCCGCGGUAAUACGGAGGAUACGAGCGUUAUCCGGAAUUAUUGGGUUUAAAGGGUGCGUAGGUGGCGUAUUAAGUCAGUGGUGAAAAGCUGCAGCUCAACUGUAGUCUUGCCGUUGAAACUGAUAUGCUAGAGAGGAGACGAGGUAUGCGGAAUGUGUGGUGUAGCGGUGAAAUGCAUAGAUAUCACACAGAACGCCGAUUGCGAAGGCAGCGUACCAGGCUCCGUCUGACACUGAAGCACGAAAGCGUGGGGAUCAAACAGGAUUAGAUACCCUGGUAGUCCACGCAGUAAACGAUGAAUACUAGAUUUUUGCGAUAUAGUGUAAGAGUCUAAGUGAAAGCGAUAAGUAUUCCACCUGGGGAGUACGCCGGCAACGGUGAAACUCAAAGGAAUUGACGGGGGCCC
rnacentral:rRNA from 1 species